AUUGAACGCUGGCGGCAUGCUUUACACAUGCAAGUCGAACGGUAACAGGCCGCAAGGUGCUGACGAGUGGCGAACGGGUGAGUAAUGUAUCGGAACGUGCCCAGUCGUGGGGGAUAACGCAGCGAAAGCUGUGCUAAUACCGCAUACGAUCUAUGGAUGAAAGCGGGGGACCGUAAGGCCUCGCGCGAUUGGAGCGGCCGAUAUCAGAUUAGGUAGUUGGUGGGGUAAAGGCCUACCAAGCCGACGAUCUGUAGCUGGUCUGAGAGGACGACCAGCCACACUGGGGCUGAGACACAGCCCAGACUCCUACGGGAGGCAGCAGUGGGGAAUUUUGGACAAUGGGCGCAAGCCUGAUCCAGCAAUGCCGCGUGCAGGACGAAGGCCUUCGGGUUGUAAACUGCUUUUGUACGGAGCGAAACGGCUCUCUCUAAUACAGGGGGCUCAUGACAGUACCGUAAGAAUAAGCACCGGCUAACUACGUGCCAGCCGCCGCCGUAACAC
rnacentral:rRNA from 1 species